GCACAAUCAAGGUGUCCUUCACCAAGACCAACAAACCCUCCUUGAGUAGCUCAUGUGAGGCAGGGAUAAAGCAGCAUCCUACCCAGGCAGCUACCCCAUGGCUGAGUAAAGUAGACACUGGACAGGAGAACAGGAACAGGGACACAGAUGGGAACCAGAUUCUCAGGGACAGGUGCCAGGAACAGGAACACAACAGGAACCAGACCUCAGGAACUUUGGUGACAGUCUGACCAUUGGAGCCAACAAGCCAGAAGGAAGAAGAGCACAGGAGAGGAGAACAUAUGAGCUGAACCAAUUUAAGAAGCCCUUAAGAGCCCAGAGGCACAUCUGAGCCUCACCGAGGGGGAGCCAAUCCUGUAUUUAAACAUCUAUAAUAUUUCCUGUGAAUGGCAUCUCAUUUUGGCAUCUCAAGUGGGUGGAGCUUCGUUUGUGGGCAGAGCUUUGGAGAGUUCAGCUUCACUUUUUUCUUUUCAAAUCGACCCAUUCUCAAUACAUCUUCUGUUUCUCUACAGAAGCGAUCACUCGCCUUGUCAUGUUCUACUUCUCAAUCUGUGCAACAGCACCUGUGAAAAUGUGAUAGUCAAAGAGUUUAACUUAAAAAUCUAUUUGAUCAAUUACAUUGUGGAGACCCUAUAUUUCCAAAGCAGAUGUACUGAAAAAGCUCUUAGAUUCUCAGAUUGAAACAAAGGGUCUUUACAUAUUAUGGACCAAAUUUUCAACAAUAGCCUCUCAAUAUAUGAACUCAAAUUUUUCCAUGUGCAGUUCCAAGCACUGGAACUUUUAUACCUGCAAACUAAGUAGCUGGACAUCUAACUAUUUGACUUUGUCACAUGGAAAACCAAGUUCUUUGCUGUUUAAAAUAUGUGCCAUUAAAAGUACAUUCUCUUUUAUGGAGACUGCAAAAUCAGAGGCUUGGUCGAAACCACUUGGAAAAUCUUACCCAGAGGCAUCCUUUCCAUCUUUGGUUUCUUUAAACAUGUAAUAGCAAAGGAAACAGAUGUACAUGUGGUUCUUAUAUAUUUCCCCAAGGAAUGAUCUGAUUCACUUGUAUGUGUGUGGAAAUAUAUUGUUGUCCUUUUAGUAUGUUUUCCUUGAAGUCCUGAUUGAUGUGCCACUUAGGUAUAUUUUUCUCAUAAUGAAGCUUGGCAGCUGAUCGCAAAUAUUAAUCUCUGCAUACCCUGCUUUUGAUAGUCACCUUUUUCAUUCUAAUAACACUGUCAUUGAAGUCAUUUUUUCAUAAACAUUUUCCCCAUAAACCUCUAUUUAAAAAGAGAUU